rnacentral:rRNA from 1 species
GACGAACGCUGGCGGCGUGCCUAAUACAUGCAAGUCGAGCGAGACUCUUCGGAGUCUAGCGGCGGACGGGUGAGUAACACGUGGGCAACCUGCCUGUAAGACUGGGAUAACACCGGGAAACCGGUGCUAAUACCGGAUAAUCCUUUUCCUCUCAUGAGGAAAAGCUGAAAGUCGGUUUCGGCUGACACUUACAGAUGGGCCCGCGGCGCAUUAGCUAGUUGGUGAGGUAACGGCUCACCAAGGCGACGAUGCGUAGCCGACCUGAGAGGGUGGUCGGCCACACUGGGACUGAGACACGGCCCAGACUCCUACGGGAGGCAGCAGUAGGGAAUCUUCCACAAUGGACGAAAGUCUGAUGGAGCAACGCCGCGUGAGCGAUGAAGGCCUUCGGGUCGUAAAGCUCUGUUGUUAGGGAAGAACAAGUACCGGAGUAACUGCCGGUACCUUGACGGUACCUAACCAGAAAGCCACGGCUAACUACGUGCCAGCAGCCGCCGUAAAAC